UAUCUAGUUAUGUCCCCAAAACACAGCUAAUCGGCAUUGAGACAAACUUUCCCACCGAACAGUAUCCUGCAAUGGUACGAGAUUAGCAAACAACAGGAAAGUGCUUGCCGAUAACUUCAAAAUGCCAACAUGUCCAAUCAGAGGCUUUGGGAUGAUUUAUUAGCCAAGUACUUUUUGUUAUGAUUAAAACAACUUUCUCUGACAUAACACACAACUUCCCCUCACUUCCCAGCAUCUCCAUAUCUCACUGGAAUACUUUGUUAGCUGAAGAAAGCAUAAUUAGCAAGUUUUGUAGAUGGUCCAACAGUUAUUUAGGAUAGUGAGUACCUUAAAGCAUGAAUAGUUAAAUAAACAGAAAGCAAAUUCAUUAUAAGAAUCACAAUUGGAUAGCAUGUUGUAAGAUAUAGUACUUCUAAAAAGUAAGUUGUUUAUUUCCACCAUGUUUGUGACUAAAAAAAAAUGCAGUGCAGAAACAAAAUCUGGAACCACUCUACAACAGAGGAGAACAAAAUCCUGUUUGUCUCCAACAGCAUUCUUGACUUUAACUAAAGUCAAGCUUUAAAUAAUGUGAUUUGGAAGCUGCUGUCAAAUAUCUUGAAUGAAACCACUAAGGUUCAGAAUUGGCACCUGUGCCAACACAGUUGCCCUUGAGCCAGCUGAUCUAUUUCAUUAUUCAACAACAACAACAACAAAUCUCAGCACACUCUUUAAGGCCAUGAGUUUGCAACCCUCAGUUCCAAAGCAAAUUGCUUUAAUACCCCACAGUUAAGGUUUUCAUAAGGAAAAAACCAGCCCAUUUUCUUCAGCAGAUAGUUGAAACUUUCUGCAUUUAUAUUUUCUUUUCUUUUUUGGGUGGUGGUAAGACAUAAUCUUUGCCUGAGUUGGUCUGUCUUCCUUAAGGUCUCGGUGAAUUCUUCUCAUUCUCUGCAGCUGUUGGCUUUGUCACUUUAAGUAGUCAGGCAGAGAGUCAGCGGCACAGCGGAAUCCCAAGUUCGAAGCCGAGCUGUCAGGAGUGUUUUGGCUCCGAGCUGCACAUCGAUACCUAUAGCAAUAGGACUGAGAAGGAAAACAGCAGGUUACCACAGGUGCCAAGUUAAGUGUCUCCAUUUAUUAGGAGAAUGUGUUGCUGCAACUUAGCAGUGACAAGAUGCUGUAUUUGCAACAGAGAUCAAUUAGCUGCCCAAGGGAGAUAUUCUCUAAUUUUGCUACACUAAACUAUAAAAGCCCAUGAAAUGCUGGUGCCUCAGCUGAAAAAUGCAAACAACAUCCCAUGGGGGGUGGGAUAUUUCCUUUCUUGUCCCUGAGCAGCUCACUAGGCCAUCUUUAUAUUAUAUAGUUGUGCCCCGCUGGACGAUUACCCCACUCUGCGAUGAAUCCGCU
rnacentral:lncRNA from 1 species